ACACACUCUUCAUCAUCACACAAGACUAAACUACAACUAUGAACAACAUCAUCAUCUUCAUCUGGACCAUUGCACUGUUUAUUCAAGAGUGUAGAGGACAGUAUACUGUAACUCAGAGUCCAUCAAUAUCAGCAGUUCAACCAGGAGAAGAAGUCAGAAUAAACUGUAAAACCAGCAGUGAUGUGCAUGGUGGUAGUUACUUACACUGGUACUCACAGAAACCUGGAGAAGCUCCUAAACUCCUCAUAUAUAUUACAUCAAACCGUUAUACUGGAACUCACUCUAGAUUCAGUGGCAGUGGAUCUGGCAGUGAUUUUACUCUGACCAUCAGUGGAGUCCAGACUGAAGAUACAGGAGAUUAUUACUGUCAGAGUUUACACAUUCCCAGUCAGUAUGUGUUCACACAGUGAUAAAGAGUCGUACAAAAACCUCUGUCAGUCAGACGUCACAGUGACUGCACUGAUACAGCUGAGAGAAACUGCAGCUGCUGAUGGAGGAGCACAAACUACACAAUAUCAAUGUCUAGUUCAAAGUUUCUAAAGACUUUAAAAAUCUACAUUUAUCGGUAGUAACUCAUUUUAAUUACUCAAUUUACAUAGU